rnacentral:rRNA from 1 species
GAUGAACGCUGGCGGCGUGCCUAAUACAUGCAAGUCGAGCGAACGGACGAGAAGCUUGCUUCUCUGAUGUUAGCGGCGGACGGGUGAGUAACACGUGGAUAACCUACCUAUAAGACUGGGAUAACUUCGUGAAACCGUAGCUAAUACCGGAUAAUAUUUUGAACCGCAUGGUUCAAAAGUGAAAGACGGUCUUGCUGUCACUUAUAGCUGGAUCCGCGCUGCAUUAGCUAGUUGGUAAGGUAACGGCUUACCAAGGCAACGAUGCAUAGCCGACCUGAGAGGGUGAAAGGACAAACUGGAACUGAGACACGGUCCAGACUCCUACGGGAGGCAGCAGUAGGGAAUCUUCCGAAAAGGGCGAAAGCCUGACGGGGCAACGCCGCGUGAGUGAUGAAGGUCUUCGGAUCGUAAAACUCUGUUAUUAGGGAAGAACAUAUGUGUAAGUAACUGUGAACAUCUUGACGGUACAUAAUCAGAAAGCCACGGCUAACUACGUG